rnacentral:misc_RNA from 1 species
AGAGAGAGAGAGAGAAAGAGAAGAGGAAAAAAAAGAAAAAGCUCAUGGUGUGGGGGGAGAGGUGGGUGUGUUUGGGGUUGGCUGGGUUUGAAAAUCUUUUUAACUAUAACAUUCUAGGCAUUCUUUGUACCCCUCAAUUUGUUGAGAAUAUAGUGCACUUGAAUGAAAUUUUUCCCAGGACGGUGUCUUCAAGAAAAGAGCCUAAAACUUGUCAUUUACUUGGAAAAAUCUACUUCUGGUGACAGCAAUUAAGAGAGAGAUUUCCGAAGAUGAGAAUUCAUAUACAGGGGAGGCCAAAUUUCUUAUUUUCUAACUUGCACCAGCUUGCUGAUCUCUGUGGUUGAUAGGUAGAUAAAGGAAAUUUAUCUGCAUUGGUGGUUCUGGUGUGUCCAGUUUUGGUUUUGGUAUCUCAUACCAUAAAAGUAUCAUUAAAGAAAUCAAAAUGCACGUUAUCUUUUUCUUGAUCUUAAUGUAUUACCAUUACACAUAUCAUAGAUAUGUUCCCAGUAUUACAGGUUUAUGCCAUUGUGGGUUUAAUUAUUAGCUGGUCUCGUCAUUGAUUUUAACAGAGUAUGCUCAGCAGGGAUUUCAGCACUUUGUCAAUUGGGUUGCUUUGCAACCUAGCUUAAACAAGCUUCUCUUAUAAAGAUCCCAACCCAUGGUUCCUCCCUCCUUCACUGGUUUAGAAAUUGAUCUGUGUCCUGGCGUUCUUUAUGAGACAAUAGUUUGAUGCCCUUACGCCAUGAGGUAUUGUUCCCAGAUUUUUAUCUUUACUUUUAUUUUCCCUUUGGGUAUCACUUUGUUGCAUUGCAAAUGGUUAGAGAACUGAUUGAAAAUAUGGGUUUCAUGGAAGUUUAUCGUUCCAUACUCUUCACUCUUAUACAUGCCGUACUUAUUGCAUCUUGGAAGUUUUAAGAUUUGAACCAUUGUAUUUGCACACUGCCAUCAGGAGAGAACACAAUGGUUGUUUUGUGGUGUGGUGU